GAAAGCCUGACACCCAUGUCUUUAGUCCGGCAGCCGUGCUAGUCACUUUUAACUGGCCGACAGGUGCCCGGUAUUUAGCCCCCGAAUUCUAAGGAAAGAUAGGACAGAAUAGCAAGUGAAAGGGGUCCGUGGUACUCACUGCUUGGUGAUAGGUGAUGGUCUCGCCGCUCAGCUAUAGGUGAUGGUCUCACCGCUUGGUGAUAGGCGAAAGUCCCAUCUGGGUCGCCAAAAUGUGUCCGGAAUUGGUGGGUUCUUGGUCUCACUGACUUCAAGAAUGAAACUGCGGACCCUUGCGGUGAGUGUUACAGCUCUUAAGGUGGUGCGUCUGGAGUUUGUUCCUUCUGAUGUUCGGAUGUGUUCGGAGUUUCUUCCUUCUGGUGGGUUCGUGGUCUCGCUGGCUCAGGAGUGAAGCUGCAGACCUUUGCGGUGAGUGUUACAGCUCUUAAGGCGGCACAUCUGGAGUUGUUCGUUCCUCCCGGCGGGCUCGUGGUCUCGCUGGCUUCAGGAGUGAAGCUGCAGGCCUUCGUGGUGAGUGUUACAGCUCAUAAAAGCAGCAUGGACCCAAAGAGUGAGCAGUAGCAAGAUUUAUUGCAAAGAGCAAAAGAACAAAGCUUCCACAGUGUGGAAG
rnacentral:lncRNA from 1 species